rnacentral:rRNA from 1 species
AUACNUGCAAGUCGAGCGAANNGAUUAGGAAGCUUGCUUCUAUGACGUUAGCGGCGGACGGGUGAGUAACACGUGGGCAACCUGCCUGUAAGACUGGGAUAACUUCGGGAAACCGAAGCUAAUACCGGAUAGGAUCUUCUCCUUCAUGGGAGAUGAUUGAAAGAUGGUUUCGGCUAUCACUUACAGAUGGGCCCGCGGUGCAUUAGCUAGUUGGUGAGGUAACGGCUCACCAAGGCAACGAUGCAUAGCCGACCUGAGAGGGUGAUCGGCCACACUGGGACUGAGACACGGCCCAGACUCCUACGGGAGGCAGCAGUAGGGAAUCUUCCGCAAUGGACGAAAGUCUGACGGAGCAACGCCGCGUGAGUGAUGAAGGCUUUCGGGUCGUAAAACUCUGUUGUUAGGGAAGAACAAGUACAAGAGUAACUGCUUGUACCUUGACGGUACCUAACCAGAAAGCCACGGCUAACUACGUGCCAGCAGCCGCGGUAAUACGUAGGUGGCAAGCGUUAUCCGGAAUUAUUGGGCGUAAAGCGCGCGCAGGCGGUUUCUUAAGUCUGAUGUGAAAGCCCACGGCUCAACCGUGGAGGGUCAUUGGAAACUGGGGAACUUGAGUGCAGAAGAGAAAAGCGGAAUUCCACGUGUAGCGGUGAAAUGCGUAGAGAUGUGGAGGAACACCAGUGGCGAAGGCGGCUUUUUGGUCUGUAACUGACGCUGAGGCGCGAAAGCGUGGGGAGCAAACAGGAUUAGAUACACCUGGGUAGUCCACNNCCNUAAACGAUGANUGCUAAGUGUUAGAGAGGNUCCGCCNCUUUANUGCUGCGGCUAACGCAUUAAGCACUCCNCCUGGCGANNACGGUCNCGAGGACUGANACUC